rnacentral:tRNA from 1 species
GGCCAGGUAGCUCAGUUGGUAGAGCAGGCGACUGAAAAUCGCCGUGUCGGGAGUUCAAAUCUCUCCCUGGCCA